UUACACGUAAUUGCAUAAAUUUCCCACUGGCAAUUCGCAUUCCGCACCAUCUUGUCGUUCGCGAGCUGGGAAUAAGAAUCAGCCUCGCCAAUUCUGCAGCUUCCAUUCUCCUUAUUCUUUUCCCUCUCGCUCCUCCCAUAAAGCCUCCCUCAUCUUUAUUUCAAAACCCUAGGAUUUUUUUUUUUUCUGAACCACCCAACCUCUUCUCUUUUCCUCUUCAUAUUUUACACUCUCGUCGUUGUUGUUUCAGCCAUGGCCGCAUUUCCCAGGGACCGAGCGCUCUCUCUUCUAGCCGCUGCCAACAAUCAUGGCGACUUAGCUGUCAAGAUUUCGUCUUUGAGACAAGCCAAGGAUAUUCUUCUGUCAAUGGAGCCGUCUUUAGCUGCCGACCUUUUCUCCUACUUGGUCGAGCUUCAGUCCUCCCCCGAAACCCUCGUUCGAAAGUUGUUGAUCGAGGUAAUUGAAGAGAUAGGUUUAAGAGCAGCAGAGCAUUCUCCAGCGCUAAUGUCUGUAUUAUUAGCAUUUUUACGUGAUAGUGACACAAUUGUUGUAAAGCAAUCUAUUGUUAGUGGCACAUAUAUCUUCUGCAGUGUUUUGGCAGAGAUGACAGUGCAGUAUCAACAAUAUGGUAAAGUUGAGAGGUGGUUAGAGGAGAUUUGGAUGUGGAUGCUCAAGUUUAAGGAUGCUGUAGUUGGGAUUUCUCUGGAGCCUGGUUCAGUUGGAACAAAGUUGUUGGCGCUGAAAUUCUUGGAAACACUAGUCUUACUUUUUUCAUCUGACGUCAGUUAUCCUGAUAAGUCGCUUUUAGAAGGAGGCAGAAAAGUAUUUAAUAUCUCAUGGUUGGAGGUUAGUCACCCUGUUCUUGAUCCGGUGAUGCUCAUGUCAGAAGCAAAUAGGACUGUUGGCAUUCUAUUAAACUUAUUGCAGUCGGCUGGUAGCCUCCCUGGUUGCUUGACAAUUACUGUUGUCAAUUGUCUUGUAGCCAUAGCAAGGAAAAGGCCACAGCACUGCAAUACUGUUCUUCCAGCAUUGCUCGAUUUUGAUCCAAAUUUCCAAAUAGUAAAAGGAUGUCAUGUUGCUAGUAUUCAGUACUCCUUAAGAACGGCAUUUUUAGGGUUUCUGAGGUGCACUUACUUACCAAUAUUAGAGUCAAGAGAAAGAUUGGUAAAGAGCCUGCGAGCUAUGAAUGCAGGAGAUGCUGCUGAGCAAGUUAUUCGGCAAGUUGACAGGUUAAUUAGAAAUGGUGAUCGUUCUAUUCGUGAUGCUCGAGCUAGCAAGGAUGAUUACCUAUCAACUCAGACGCCAGUUUCUGGGGAAUUAUCUAGAAAAAGAUCAAUGCCUGUAGAUAAAGAACAACUGACCAAUGGUCAUGAGGUCAUCUCUAAGCGGAUUAAUUCUGGCCCUGGCCUACACUCUCCUUUACCUGUUCAAAUAAUUGAUUCUGAGCAGGAUGUUUACUCUGCAAGCGAACUAUCCUCUAAUGUUCCUGUGCUGGAUAGUGAACUAACUGCUGUGGAGCAAAUGAUUGCUAUGAUUGGUGCUUUGCUUGCUGAAGGAGAAAGAGGUGCUGAAUCUCUUGAAAUCCUUAUUUCAAAGAUCCAUCCUGAUUUGUUAGCUGAUAUUGUCAUUACUAACAUGAGGCACUUGCCUAAGACGCCACCAUCAUUAACAAGGCUUGGGGAUCUACCAGUAACACAAGCUGAUACCCAACGCAGUCAAUUGCGAGCUGUAUCAUCCGCGCCCAUAAAUUCUGUUCAAUCUUCUGCUAUUACAGCUCAAGCUCCAUUCCCUUCAGCUACAGCCAUUGCCACUGCUGCAUCACUAUCUGACACCUCUAAUGUCAACAAUCUGCCUGCUGAUUCCAAACGUGAUCCACGCAGGGAUCCUCGUCGUCUUGAUCCUAGGCGUGUAGCGGUAAAUGCUGCAGGCACAGCACUAUCAGUUGUGGAAGAUACUGGUUCUUUGAAAUUGGAGUUUGAUGAAUCUUUAUCUUUGAGUAAGCCUGUUUCACAUUCCGAUGUGGCCACUGUUGACAAUGCUCCAGCACCUGUAGCAGUCAACAUAGAAUGUGAAGAUAUCAUCUCUGAAGGUCCACCAGUUUCAGCACCUGAAAAACCAAUUACUAAGAUGGAGAUUCAAGAGACGCCCAGAGAUAUUGACCGGAGUCCAGAAGAAAAUGCUUUUUCAGAUCCCUUACCCUCUGUUGCUGAUGUUACAGACGAGGAUCUGAGUGCAGUGAAGCUAUCAGAUAAUGAGGCAAAUGGGACCAAUUCAACUAUACAAGAAUAUGAUCAAUUCUCUCCAGAUGCUACGACUGCAUCUACAUCAGAUGAUACCUGUCUGGAAUUACCACAGCUUCCACCAUAUGUUGAACUGUCCAGAGAUCAUGAAAGUAACAUUAAACAUAUGGCAGUUAAGCAUCUUAUGGAGUCGUACAAGCAUCUGCAUGGGACAGAUUGUCAGCAGUUUUGCAUGCUAUUACUUGCCCGAAUGGUUGCUCAGAUUGAUGAUGAUAAAGAGUUCAUUUUGAUGCUGCAAAAACAUGUCCUGGAUGACCAGUGGCGAAAGGGCCAUGAACUUGUAUUGCAUGUUUUGUACCAUCUACACUCCUGCAUUAUCCUGGAUUCAAUUCCAAACUCUUCAUCUACUGCUGCUCUGUAUGAAAAUUUUCUCUUGGCGGUGGCCAAAUCUCUGUUGGAGUUUCUCCCGGCUUCAGACAAGUCUUUUAGUAGACUUCUCGGAGAAGUCCCACUUUUGCCAGAGUCUGCCUUGAAGGUUUUGAAUGAUCUCUGCCAUUCCAGUGUCACUGAUCGUCACAGUAAAGUUGUCCGUGACAUGGAGCGUGUAACUCAAGGCCUUGGUGCGAUCUGGAGUUUGAUAUUGGGACGUCCACAAUAUCGGCAAGCAUGCUUGGAUAUAGCAUUGAAGUGUGCAGUUCAUCCCCAGGAUGAGAUUCGAACAAAAGCUAUUCGGCUGGUGGCAAACAAGCUCUAUCAACUGAGCUACAUAUCAGAUGAUGUUGAACAGUUUGCUGAGCAAAUGCUUCUGUCUGCUGUAGACCAAAAGGCCUUAGAUACAGGUCUUUCUGAAUCUGGACCCAUUGAACAAGGAGCUGACACACAGUUAUUGGCCUUUUAUGUUUCAAAGAUUGGAAGUCAGGAAACCCCUGCUCCGUUGCAAGUUUCAGAAUCUCCCGCAUCUGAAAAUGAGCCCUCUAAAAUUGGUAAACCAGUAGCAAAUGUUGCAUCUGUGUCAUUGUCUGAAGCUCAGCGUCUCAUAUCAUUGUUUUUUGCUUUGUGCACAAAGAAACCCAGUCUUCUUCAGAUUAUCUUUGAUGUCUAUGGGCGAGCCCCAAAAACUGUAAAGCAGGCCAUUCAUCGUCACAUCCCUAUUCUUUUGAGGGCUUUAGGACAAUCAUAUUCUAAAGUUCUCCAUAUUAUAUCCAAUCCACCACAAGGAAGUGAAAAUCUUCUGACACUGGUGUUGCAAAUAUUAACUCAAGAAACGACACCGUCUGCUGAUCUGAUAGCUACUGUUAAGCAUCUAUAUGAAACUAAAUUAAGGGAUGUUUCAAUUCUUGUUCCCUUGCUGCCAUCACUGUCCAAAAAUGAGGUUUUACCAAUAUUCCCUCGGCUUGUUGAUCUUCCAUUGGAAAAGUUCCAAAUGGCACUUGCUCAUGUACUACAGGGUUCUGCUCAUACGGGCCCAGCUCUGACACCUGUAGAAGUGUUGGUUGCAAUCCAUGGAAUUGUUCCUGAGAAGGAUGGCAUUGCACUUAAGAAGAUAACUGAUGCUUGCACAGCUUGUUUCGAGCAACGUACUGUGUUCACACAACAGGUUCUGGCAAAGGCAUUAAAUCAGAUGGUUGAUCAAACUCCAUUGCCUCUACUUUUCAUGAGAACAGUUAUUCAGGCUGUUGACGCUUUUCCAUUAUUGGUUGAUUUUGUUAUGGAGAUAUUAGCAAAACUUGUUACUAAACAGGUGUGGAGGAUGCCAAAACUUUGGGUUGGUUUCUUAAAAUUUAAUGUGUUAUCCUUUAGAUUCAACCUGCAUUUCUGCAUUCUGGAUGCAGCUGCCGCCUUCACAACUGGAAAGUGCUCUCAAUAAACAUGCAAAUCUCAGAGGUCCUCUUGCUUCUUACGCCAGUCAACCCACUGUAAAAUCUUCAUUACCCAGAUCAAUACUAGUUGUGCUUGGUCUUGCAAAUGAAACACAAAUGCAGCAACAUCCGUCGACCUCUUUGCACCCUUCUGACACAAGUUCUGUUCAUGGAGCAACUCUGACAUGAUAGUUGAGAGACUGACCGGAAUUUAAUAGUUGGCUGGCUCAACUGUAGAGCAUAGAGGAGGUUGGUCACUUUCUCAGGGUUUGCAGCCGUCCCAUGAUAAAUACCAACAGUUGAUACAGUGACUGAUCAUAUGGACUGGACUCUCUUUCAAGAGUUGAGAAGGCCGUCUUAUUCCGGGGACGAUAUCAACAAAGUUACCAUCUCUAGAGCCCCAUUCCAGUGCUCUGCCAAACUCGCCUUGGCUGCUCGAGGAAAUGGACGACUAGUCAUUUUUAUUGUUCUAUCUCGUUUUCAUGUAAUAUAUUCAUCCAAUUUUGAUGCCUCCUUCCUGGAAGCCAGAGAAUAACCAACUAUCCUCAUGUAGUGUAGUGGCGUAUCUAACCCUGCUGGAAAUUUUUUCCCAGUCAGUCCGCUCAUUCCACGAAGGAUGUCAAAAUGCUGGUAAAUUAGACAACCCAGAUGAUAACGUCUGUCCAAUGUAUCUGUAAACAUCCCCCCACCCCCCAAAACCAAUUUCAAUUCUUUUCUCAGCCAGUCAUGACUAUUGGCAUUUUUUCAAUGUAGCAGCCACGUGUAAGAAAUUUCAAAACAAA